UACUACCGAUUCGAGACUCUCCAGGAUGAGGAGGCUGACCGUCGGACCUUCGAGGAGGUGGCCACAUGGAGGUUCCGAGAUAGCCUCUACAGCCUCGGUAAUCCACCAUUCAGCACACCAAUUCUCCAUCACCAUCGGACUAGAGAUUCUUCAUGGAUCACUGGAUGUGGGCAGACAUAUGGCCGGCCCUUUACGAUCAAUGGAGUAGCAAAAAAUACUCUGAUAGGUGAUAGAGGGCUCGACAGAAUCAGACCAUCCAGCA
rnacentral:lncRNA from 1 species